GGAGGAAUACCCAAGAGGCUGAAGGGAUCGGUCUUGAAAACCGACAGGGUGUAAAAGCCGCGGGGGUUCAAAUCCCUCUUCCUCCG
rnacentral:ncRNA from 14 species